UAGCGAGAGUCCCUGUUUCCCCUUUUUCUUCCUUUUUCACCCAACAAAACCCUGUCUUACUCAUUCAAAUUCAAAUUGUCUGUGAGCAUGAAUUUUCGUGGCCAUGGGACAAAAAACCCUGUCUUCAGCCGAACUAAGGAAAAGUCCCGCAGCAGUUCCUCCUUAGGGACUCUUCGAACGCACUGUCUUAGCCCAGGCUGCCUUAACAAAAUACCAUGGACAAGGUGGCUUGAAAAACACACAUGUAUUUUCCCACAGUUCUGGAGGCUGGAAGUUGGAGAUCAGGGUGUCAGCAUAUUCGAGUUCUGUGGAGGGAGAGAUCGCUUCCUGGCUUGUAGACAGUCACCUUCUCAAAAUGUCCUCACAGGGCCCUUCCUCUGUGUGCAUGCGGAGAGAUCGCUGGUCUUUCUCUUCUUAUAAAGACAAUGGGCCUACUGGGUUAAGGCCCCACCAUUAUGAUCUCACUUCACGUUUAUUACCUCCAUACAGGCCCCAUCUCCAAAUACGGUCACGCUGGGAUUUGCCCAACAUAAUGAAUUGGAGGGGAGCGGUGGGGCACGAUUCAGUCCACUGCACACCGUUCUCCUCUCCAGACCUCUCACUGGCAAGUCCUUUCAUCUCAAUUUCAGUUCUGUGAGGCCGUCCUACUAUUGUCUAUCACCCUGUUUGAUUUUUUUGUAGCCUCAUCAUUUAUUCAUUACAGUUUCUUAAGUUCUUUUUUUUAGGGAGCUUGUCAUUGCCUAGAAGAGUGCUGGGCACACAAUAGUGAUACUGAAUAUACAACUAAAAUCAUGUAAUAUAGCACAUGAGAUUCUUAAUGCUAAAAUUAAGACUUUUUAACAUGAAAAAUGCUCUUAAGGGCAGAAAUGAAGCAAAUUUCAGGCAAGAUGGCAGACAAGACUGAAACGGAUUCAUCCAUCAACUGCUACAGACUUAAAAAACAAAAUAUGCCCAAUGCAAAGCUGAGCUCAGGAAAUCCUCAGAUGCUAGAGAUAAAGACAAAAUCCAGUUGCAGAAGUGAGUUCCAGGUGAUGCCAGGAGACCCCAGGAAGUAUCAGAUUAGGUCACAAAACUAGGAAUAAGGUUUUAAUGUCUUCAGAAAAACAGAGCAUUUGGUGAGAGAAGGGAACUAAUCCGAGACUCCCGCAUACAACCAGGACACUUGAAGGGCUGCCUCACCUGUGAAAAAGAAACUGGAAAAAUCUCUUCAAAUCUGUCUGUGGAAACAGAAAGACAGCCUGGUGUUUGACAAAGCUCUCGGUGGGACAAACCUCCUCUGAGAAAUGGAAACCUAGGAAAUCAAAAGCCCAGAAAUUAAGGGAAAGCAUUAGUCUCAGAUAAUGAAAAGGAAACCCUUGGGGCCCGGGCCAAAGCAAAUGUAAAAACAUGAACACUUGCAUAAUCUCGUACAUGGGACUCACAGAAAAUGCAACCCCUAAUAUAGAUGAGCUCGCAAUGAAAAAUUAUCCACCACUGUGGCAAUGCAGUCACCAAAAGGAAGACUCAACAGACCAAUGAGCAUAGACACGAGCUGUGGAGGUAACAACUGGAAACAGAAGAAUAAAAUCUCAAGAUAAAUAAUUUAAAAAUACUUAACAUGGAAAAAUAUUUCACUUAAAAAAUAUAACUUUUAGAAAAAAUAUAGUAUCAUUAACUUAAAAAUUCAGUAGCUAGGUUGAACAAUAAAUUCACCACAAAUGAAAAGAGAAUUAGAGAUCUGGAUCACGGAGCUGGAAGAUGAAUGCAGAGGCAGCACAGGGAGGUAAAGCAAUGGAAAAGAUCGCAGGGAGUCCCAAGACCCGGGAUGCUCCCUCGAGUCACUCACAGGAGCUCCAGAGGAAAGGACAGAUCAUGGGGAAAGGCAAUAUUUGAAGCAACAAUGACUGGGAAUUUUUCAUAAUUAAGAAAGAUGUAAAUAUUCAGAGGGAAAAUGCAGAUCUAGACACUUUUCAGAAACACUAUGAAACUCCAAAGUCAAGGAAAAGAUUAAAAGCAACUAGAAACAAAAGACAGUUUACAAUAAAAGAUCCAAAUUAGAUGGAAAUUACAUGUCUCAUUAAUAAAAUAGAGGUCAGAGAAAAGGGUAAAAAAUGUUCAACAUGCUCAAAGAACAAAAGUUAUUCAUCUACAAUACAACUUAGUAAAAUUAUCAUUCAAAAAUAAAGACAAAUCAAAUGUAUUUGACUAAGACUGAAGGGUAUUUUUUUAACCCCUGGAUCAUCAACUUUACCAAAGGAUAAAAUUUAUUAAAAAUAUGAUCAGCUUGUCGAAAGAAUGAAUCAAUGACACUCUGUCUUCGUGGAGAGCAGCCUGGGUGUGGAAUCAGGCACCCCCGGGUUCAAAGCCAUCACUGUGAUUGAAGAACAGAAGUCAUUCGUGAAGGACACAGCACACACAGCCCAGAGAGCUCGCAGGUUAAAACUGCACAUGGAGCAAUGUCUGCCAGCCAUUCAGGGUACUUCAAAAUAGCAAACACAGUAUUCACAAUCAAGUUAUUUAGACCUUUUAGAUUGUAUACAAAUGACAUAGAAAAAUGUACAGCCAGUCCACUGGGUUGUAAUUUUAGAAACAAACAUCUCAAGUCAUAAUAAUAAAGUAGAGUUUUAAAAAGUUACUAGGUUUUCUUUAUUUGCCAUAAGAAAGACUGAACUUCUUAGUAUGUAGUUUGAAGAGUAUUUUCUUUAACUCAUUGAAGCCUACAGAGAAAAUUCAAAUCCACAGAGAAUAAGAGGGUCAUUCUCCAGAUUCUCAUUAGACAAUUUGUGGAAAUGGUGUCUCUCUUCUCACAGUGAACCCUGACUCCUCCAUGACUGCUGGAGAAGACCAAGCAUCGCUAUUUAGGAUGCUCUUUUUUCUGCUCUUUCCAGCUCUAAAUUUCUAGCAUCACCAAUUCCCCUUGCUCCUGGCUCUCUGGACUUUGUGCCCUGCUGCCCUUUGUUGUGAUCUUCCAUGGCCA
rnacentral:lncRNA from 1 species